AAGUCGUAACAAGGUUUCCGUAGGUGAACCUGCGGAAGGAUCAUUAACACGUAUCCAACGUUAAACAACCCUGUGAACUUUAAGUCCCCUCUUGCAGCCCAUGAGGAACAGCAAUCCCGGUAAAUCAUUGCCAAACAGUUUUGAUUCGGGACCUCUGUCCAAAAGGAGUUGCAAUCGAAGGGUGGAAGCAGUGGCAUGGCUUCCCCAAGCAGUUAGUGAAUGACAGUGUCACUAGACAUGUCACAGGGUCACCACGCCCCUUAAUCACUCCACUUGAAAAUGCCCCGCCUAGUGGUAACGCGCUAGGUAAAAAAAACCGAACAACUGUUAACAAUGGAUAUCUUGGUUCUC
rnacentral:misc_RNA from 1 species